GGUUGUAUAGUGUAGCGGUCAGCACACCAGAUUCUGAUUCUGGAGACCUGGGUUCGAUUCCCAGUACGACCU
rnacentral:tRNA from 2 species